rnacentral:rRNA from 1 species
UGCAAGUCGACGAAGAAAUACCUUCGGGUAAAGUAAGAGUGGCGAACGGGUGAGUAACACGUGGGUAACCUACCUUUGAGUGGGGAACAAUCCCUCUAACGAGGGGCUAAUACCGCAUAAUGCAGCGGCUCCGCAUGGAGACAGUUGUUAAAGGGGCAGCUUCGGUUGUCUCGCUUGAAGAUGGACCCGCGGUCCAUUAGCUUGUUGGUGAGGUAACGGCUCACCAAGGCAACGAUGGAUAGCCGGCCUGAGAGGGUGUACGGCCACACUGGAACUGAGAAAGGUCCAGUCCCCUACGGGGGCCAGCAGUCUAGAAAUUUGCGCAAUGGGCGAAAGCCUGACGCAGCGACGCCACGUGGAGGAUGAAGCCCUUAGGGGUGUAAACUCCUGUCAGAAGGGAAGAAUGCAGGAAAUAACUUUUCCUGUUUGACGGUACCUUCAGAGGAAGCCCCGGCUAACUUCGUGCCAGCAGCCGCGGUAAUACGAAGGGGGCAAGCGUUGUUCGGAUUUACUGGGCGUAAAGGGCGUGCAGGCGGACCGAUAAGUCGUCUGUGAAAUCUGUCGGCUCAACCAACAACUUGCAGUCGAAACUAUCGGUCUUGAGUACAGGAGAGGAGAGCGGAAUCUCAGGUGUAGCGGUGAAAUGCGUAGAUAUCUGGGAGAACACCGGUGGCGAAGGCGGCUCUCUGGCCUGAUACUGACGCUGAGGCGCGAAAGCUAGGGGAGCGAACGGGAUUAGAUACCCCGGUAGUCCUAGCUGUAAACGAUGGGUACUAGGUGUUGGAGGUAUUGACCCCUCCAGUGCCGCAGCUAACGCAUUAAGUACCCCGCCUGGGGAGUACGGUCGCAAGGCUGAA